UGGGGAAUAUUGCACAAUGGGCGAAAGCCUGAUGCAGCAACGCCGCGUGAGUGAUGAAGGUCUUCGGAUUGUAAAGCUCUGUCUUUUGGGACGAUAAUGACGGUACCAAAGGAGGAAGCCACGGCUAACUACGUGCCAGCAGCCGCGGUAAUACGUAGGUGGCGAGCGUUGUCCGGAUUUACUGGGCGUAAAGGGUGCGUAGGCGGAUGUUUAAGUGAGAUGUGAAAUACCCGGGCUUAACUUGGGUGCUGCAUUUCAAACUGGAUAUCUAGAGUGCAGGAGAGGAGAAUGGAAUUCCUAGUGUAGCGGUGAAAUGCGUAGAGAUUAGGAAGAACACCAGUGGCGAAGGCGAUUCUCUGGACUGUAACUGACGCUGAGGCACGAAAGCGUGGGUAGCAAACAGGAUUAGAUACCCUGGUAGUCCACGCCGUAAAACGAUGAGUACUAGGUGUAGGAGGUAUCGACCCCUUCUGUGCCGCAGUAAAACACAUUAAGUACUCCGCCUGGGAAGUACGAUCGCAAGAUUAAAACUCUAAAGUGAAUUGAC
rnacentral:rRNA from 1 species